rnacentral:rRNA from 1 species
UACGUAGGGUGCGAGCGUUAAUCGGAAUUACUGGGCGUAAAGCGUGCGCAGGCGGUUUUGUAAGCCAGAUGUGAAAUCCCCGGGCUUAACCUGGGAAUGGCAUUUGGGACUGCAAGGCUUGAGUGCGGCAGAGGAGACUGGAAUUCCUGGUGUAGCAGUGAAAUGCGUAGAUAUCGGGAGGAACACCUGUGGCGAAAGCGGCUCACUGGACCAUAACUGACGCUGAUGCACGAAAGCUGGGGGAGCAAACAGG